AGGCUGAUUAAUGUAUUGGCAUCUGGCCCCAUGGAGAGAAAGAGCCGCCAUUGCUUUCGUAGACCUGUUCAUUUUCGUGAUCAUGGUACACCUGAGUACACAAACCGGAAGAAAAUAUUUUUUAAAAAAGUUGUUGCUCUACGGUGAGGACAGCAAGAGCGUAGUUCGACACAACCAAUACGAAAAUUCCUAAACGGAUUGCAGAGAGGCAAGCCAUGUUGUAGCAAAAAUAGACCAAUCGACAGUAACUCCUUAUUAUCCGGAUUUGGACCAAGUGACCAGGCGUAACACCUGCGGAGUGCAGAUGUUAAAACAAAUUGUGUGUCGCAUGCACUAGUAUGCCUAACGACCUUGUUUUUUUUUAAAUAGAAACCAAUCAGCAGUUAGUACCUGUUAAUCCCUUAUUAUUCAGAUUUGGACGAAGCGACCAGGUGUUAAAACAAAUUGUGUGUCAAUACUCUGGGCAUGCACUAGUGUGUAAUAUGCCUAACGACCUUGUUAUUAAUACGACAAUUUGCCUUGAAGGUAUUGUGUGAACAGCUGCGCUACGCGGAUGAUAAACGAAACGCCGAAAUUUUUGUAUUCGCAGCUACUAAUUUCCACCCAGGCAGCCUUAUCGAUGAAAAGCUGCUUUGCGGGAUUUCAGUCUGUU